rnacentral:rRNA from 1 species
AUUGAACGCUGGCGGCAUGCCUUACACAUGCAAGUCGAACGGCAGCACGGGAGCAAUCCUGGUGGCGAGUGGCGAACGGGUGAGUAAUAUAUCGGAACGGUGCCCGGUCGUGGGGAUAACGUAGCGAAAGCUACGCUAAUACCGCAUACGAGUCUACGGAUGAAAGCGGGGGAUCGCAAGACCUCGCGCGAUUGGAGCGGCCGAUAGUCAGAUUAGGUAGUUGGUGAGGUAAAGGCUCACCAAGCCGACGAUCUGUAGCUGGUCUGAGAGGACGACCAGCCA